rnacentral:misc_RNA from 1 species
AGUGAUGGAGCGAUUGGCAAACCCAGGUGUUAGACGGCUAAUCAUUGUGGAAGCAGGCAGUAAACGUGUAGAAGGCAUUGUUACACUGAGUGACAUCUUCAAAUUCUUGCUUGGAUAAGUUAAUGACCACAGAAAUUAUAACUUGAAAGGGAUUGUGCAGUGGUUUUAUGAUUCCUGGCAUAUUUUAUAGCAGCAUCUCCUGCCUGGUUCCAAGGAGACUCCAGUACUUUCCAUGUCAUUUUGAUCUCAUUUCUUUGAAAUCAACCAUUGGAUUGGCCUCCUGCUUGGUUGCCUAGUUUUAGAAUUUCAGGCUAACAGGGGGGCGUGCAAUUUGAGAGCUGAUUCUGUCCUGAUUCUCUAAUUUGUUUAUACCCUGUCCUUUUCGUUACAAACGACUUUGUGCCAUUGAUGUAAAUUACUAAAUUUCAUGUAUGUGGGGAGCAGCAUGGGAUGUGUAACAGUUGUGUGCUGCUGCAAAGUGGAGAAGGAUAGGGAGGGGGGAAUAUUCUCUUCUAUGCUUCAUUAGGCUGUGAUUGGCCCUUAGAAAAUUUGAUGGGGUUGUAACUGGCCUUUUUCUUUUUUAUUGAUUUACUGAUUGUUGUUUUAUAGUAGCAGGAGAAAGUUUAUGUUUACGACUCCUGAAUGAGAGAAACCAGCAAAUACCAGUUUUCUAUCUAGUUGAUGGUUGGCAGCCAAAGAUAAAAUUUCAAAGUUCA